AGACGUUUAGAUCCGUGGCGUCAGGAUGAACGCUGGCGGCGUGCUACACAUGCAAGUCGAGCGAAGCAUACAGGAGGAAGUUUUCGGAUGGAAUCCUGCAUGACUGAGCGGCGGACGGGUGAGUAACGCGUGGGUAACCUGCCUUAUACAGGGGGAUAACAGUUAGAAAUGACUGCUAAUACCGCAUAAGCGCACAGUACCGCAUGGUAGUGUGUGAAAAACUCCGGUGGUAUAAGAUGGACCCGCGUCUGAUUAGCCAGUUGGCGGGGUAAGGCCCACCAAAGCGACGAUCAGUAGCCGACCUGAGAGGGUGACCGGCCACAUUGGGACUGAGACACGGCCCAAACUCCUACGGGAGGCAGAAGUGGGGAAUAUUGCACAAUGGGGGAAACCCUGAUGCAGCAACGCCGCGUGAGUGAAGAAGUAUUUCGGUAUGUAAAGCUCUAUCAGCAGGGAAGGAGAUGACGGUACCUGAUUAAGAAGCCCCGGCUAACUACGUG
rnacentral:rRNA from 1 species